GGAAAUCACGCGUAAUCCUUUCCCUGCAGUACUUUUGCUGGAAAAGCCCUCGUUCUAUUGAAAAUAGCCCUUUCCUGCUUUAUUAGCAGCCAGUGUCUGCAUGUUCUGCAAUUAGCAAGCCUUAAUUUGGUAUAGGUGAGGCAGUUUCAAAAUAUUUCAUGGUUUUCUGUGCGUUGUCUUUACUGGAUCAGAUGCUGCAGGUUAGCAGACCUGCUGUGACUGCAUCGUCACCCUCUGUUCAUUGACUGGGCCAACCUAGUAGUGAGGUAAGCAGUGUGUUUCUGACCCACGUGUCCAGCACGCUGGGAUUAAGCUCAAAUUCACCUUGUCACCAAGAGGCAGUGAUGGCCCAAGUGAGUUUUGACAUGUGCCUUCUGCAGCUUUACUGAAGCCAGUAUCAUCUCCCUGGUUAAUAAAUAGCAUGUUCCUGGCUUUCCCCUCAAUAGCUCUAAUAUCUCCAGUUUUAUGCAGUACUUUCAAGAAAUUACUGAAGCUCUAUCUGAGGGUGAAUUUGUGUUCUUAGAAACGGGUGAAUCAAAGCUGGCUUUCUCCGUCUCUGUGCCUGAAUGCGCGAUCCCAGCCCUCCAGUGAAUCACUCCCCACUAAGACACAACGGUGCUCGUGUGCAGGAGCCGCAGCCCCUACAAAUCUCAUUAUGAAACUCACAAUAAUUGAGGGGCUAAAAAUAAUUUUUGCUCAGAUUGCACUUUGAAUGUGCUUGAUGUUUUUUUAUUAUUUCUUUUUAGUCAAUCCUAAUGUAGUUAGUCCUCAGUAAACUCAGCUCUACCCUCCCGCCCUUCGGUGCUUAUUUUUGUCUCUCCUGGUGCAUCGCAUAAGCAUGGCGUAAUUUCCAGCAUACAGUUAUUAGUAUUUAUUCUUUUUUUUUCACAGCAGAGCACCUUAGGAGCCACAAUGACUUCUGGAUACGAUGAAAUGCAAGGUGAAAGGAUUACUGUGAGAUUGUGACAAGAAGAGGAAACAGCACAGCGCAAGCGAUCUCUUGUGAUAAAGAUCUCGUGAGCAGUGAAGAGCAGAGGAAGUGGGACAUAUGUGAUGAUUCCUGUGGUGGUACGUGCCCUUCCUCAUCGAGUGAUCUGCUUGGGGCUUGGGCUGAAAUAGGCUGGAAUUUGGUUAAACUUGGAAAGAAUUUUACCUGUCUAUUGAUUCCAUCAUGUGAAUGGGAGCUUGUAGUUGUGAAAAGGCUUCUGAGGCUGAAGUGGUCCAAUCCCAAUAAAACAGCCAUUACUCUUCUGGUCCCUGAAUGCAUCUGUGUUGGGAAGUCAGCCUCACACCUCUCCAAUGCCACCAUCUCUAUCACAUGCCUAAUGUGUGACUUGGACCCCCUGUUUUCUGAGAACUGCAUUGGACAACAAGUGUUGUCCCACCUGGGCACCAAACAGGUCAGUAUCGAAUAAUCCUGGUGACAAAGACAUGAUUCAAGUUGUUUUUGUGAAGAACUUUAAAGGUUCUCACUUCUCUGUUGUAAGGCUUGAGUGGGUCUGCAACAUUUAGAUGCAUCAUCUACAGGGUAAACAAAAAUUC
rnacentral:lncRNA from 1 species